ensembl:lncRNA novel transcript
AGGAUAAAAUGCAAGGAACACCAACACUGAGGAGACAGGAUCACAGGAACCAGAACCCAAGAAAUGUGAAUGUUUUGUGAAGAAGAAAGUGUUCAGUAUCAAAUGCUAUUGAGAAGAUAAAGACUGAAUAGAAUCAAUUGGAUUUUGUUUCAGGGGAAAAUAUGUUCCGUGGAGUAGAGGGGGUGGAAAUCAUCUUGCAAAGUGUGGGAGAUAAGGAAGUGUAAAUGCAUUUUUCCAUAAUUUUGACAGUCUAAUCAAAGGCAAUGAGUUCUUUGUGCAGAUUUUUCAACUCUGCCACAUAGAAAGCUUCAGUUAUGUAUAGGUCAUAGCACAUUUAAUUUUUAACAUUGGUAUGACUUAUUCCUAUAGCAGGAAGACUGCCUUGAAGAAACAGAAUCUGCUAUAAGAAUACUAUCAGGAAAGAAUGGUCAAGUCAGGUGAAACCGCUGCUAUUGUAUGACUGCUGAAAUAAUCGUGUACCUGGACUAUCUGCGGCUGCCUUUUCCAGCACCUUCCUGUGGACUGCUCCAGGGCACUCUCUAGAAGUCAGAAUGGACUCCUGCUGAUUCUCUCGCAUAUUUGUCUUGAAUAAAAGAAUGGUGUAUGCCAGUGGAUUUCAAAGCUUCUCACAAAACAUCUCCACAUCUGAAGUCUCAAGAGUUUAUGUCAAGCAUUUGUAUUACUUACAACUAAUUAAAUAUACCAUUCCUGUUUUACAACAUGAACACAUUUGCUGAUAAUGUUGUAACUUGUAUUAUUAUUAUUUGUUUGAAACAAUACAUUAAUAAUUAAUGACUGGUCAGUAAUAUAAUACUAAUAUCUUGACCUAUUUAGAAUAGACAUUAAUUAUCACAUGUAUAGAAAAUAGUGUGAUUUUAAAUUUUUUUUCACAAAAAAUAAUUUGGAAGCAUGUUAAAGUGCCUUAUUUCCAUAUUAUUUAUUUACGUGAUUUGGAGAAUAUUGUUUAAAGUUUUAUUUUACAAGACUAAGCAGACUGUCAAAAAAGGUAGAUUAUGAAUACUAAAGAAAAGGCAAGAGAGUUGGCAUUUAGAAGUUAAUUGUAGUGAUUUGUUGAGGUUAUCUAAGGGAAAAUACCUGAUGACCCCAUUAUUGGAUUUGAAUAUAAAAAUGCUGGAUGCAUUAUAUGUGGCAGCCUGAGAUCUAUUCUUCUUAUCAGAGAGAUAUAAAAUUACCGAGAUUUAACUGAAGGCAGCUGUCAAACUCUGUAAAAGAACUGAUAUUCUUCAGAGGAGUGCAAAUUCUAUGUCAAAGACACAAAACAGAUUCUUAUUGCUUAAUAAUCUCCCACAGUUCAAUAGUGACAGAAAUUGGUUUCCUUUUUGCCCCCUACCCCUACUGUCUUAUUUCUACAAUUUUCUCUACAGUUACCAGUUUUGGGAUGACUGAUUCUGGUGUUUACUAUAUGAUCACUUGAUCAAUGGAGACCUGCCCAUCCUGCUUCUGACUAUCGUGAUGUCAUAGUAGAGCUGCUUUAGAUGAAUCCGAAGUACUCACUCCUUUCUCCAAUUUCUUCUUAUCUGGUUUAAGAAAACAGUAACUUAUUUUUGGCAGAGUCUAUCAAAAAUGAGAGGAAUUGUCUAUAGUAUAAUUUUAGUUUGAGUACAGAGAAUAAUAAAAAUUAUUGCUAAAAUAAAAUCUGAUUUAUCUAAGUAUCAACUCUAUUUAACUUUUUCUUUAAUAACGUAACUAUUUUAUGCUGCAUAAAGCAGAAUACAGGUUCCAGUGCUCGUUUGGCCACUUAGAACCUCAUCUUCUUUAUCUAUAAAAUGGAAAUACAAAAACUGUGUUGGGUUUAAUAGGGAAAAUAAAAUAAUGUACAGGAGAAUAUCAUGUAAUAAUGUUUUAUAGAAAAAAUAAUUAUUUUAUCUGUUAGAAGAUUUUUUUCUUGUCAGUUAAUGCAUUACUAAUGAUUUACUUUUAAAAAAUUAAAUAUGCUAAAAAAGUAAAUAAGUCAAAGCCA